UUACAGCUCAAGUGGUAGAGCACAUGCUUAGCAUGCAUGAGGUCCUGGGUUCAAUCCCCAGUAA
rnacentral:tRNA from 1 species